GUGCCAGUUAACGCUCGGAGCGUCCUUUGCUGUCCAAUCCCCGGCGUGGGCUUGCAGUCCUCAGGAGGCUUGGGGCCUCCAGACUCGGCGGUGGGACCCUUGCGGUUGGCUGCCGCUCCUGCUGCCUCGCGACACCUGGGGUGCAGACUACAGUCAGUAAGCGAAGGGGCCUCCUGGUCCUGGCCUGGGUACCAGCACUUAGGACAACAUCAGCAAGGAAGCUGGACACGGCGCACUUGCAGAAUCUUCCAGAUCGUUAUCUUAAAGAAAGGUCUGGGUCCCCAGGGCUCGUGAGACAGGCGGCACCCCUCCCCAAGUUCUGUGGAUGAAAAGGGGAUUCUAAGGAAAGGAACCCAUCGGGUGAUCUGAUCAUAAAUUCCCAGCUGGGAGGACAUGGAAGGAACUUGAAUGUGGGGAUCCCUUCCCUUCAACCUGGAGCUGGGGCAGAAGAUGGUUCAUAGGAACAUCCUGUAACUCUGCCAAGGGCAGGGACACAUGGGUUCUUCUGAACUUAAAGGCAACCCUCCCACCCAGGGUUCACCAUGGGAAAUAAUCUUAGGGGUGGAGGGAGUUGCUCAGGAGGUGCCUUUCCCCAACAUCUCUGUGUCAGCAGGCCUUAGAUAUACAGCAGUGACCACCUUAGAGUUCAGUCUGAUAAGAGGAGGAAGACAAGUAAAGAAGACAAAUGAAUAGGUCCUUGCAACACAUUGUGACAGUGCAGUGAGGGGGAAGCCCUGGGUUUUCCAGAGGAAAUCACAACCAUAGAACAUUCUGGCAUCAGAAAGAUCUGGGCCGUGGUCCUGGCAAUUUACUUUACCUCUGUGUAAUUCUUUCAAUCUUUUCUUCCAGUCACAAGAUGCCUGCCAGAGCAGGAAGCAUUUUUUCCUGUGCUCUUGUUUGAGGGAAAAUAUCAAAGGUUUGAUUUAUUAAUAAACAUUUGGAACUUGUUUUGUUGUUGUUGUUAAUCCUUACCCAAGGAGAUCAAACUGUCUACACUUCUCUACACCUUUUUUAAAACGCUGAUUUUAGAUAGAGAAAUAUCCAUGUGAGGGAAACAUCAAUGGUUGCCUCCCGAACCCGCCACUUUUUUGUGUAGGGGAUAACACUCCAACUAACUGAGCCACAUGGGC